rnacentral:rRNA from 3 species
GCAGGCGGUCUGUCAAGUCGGAUGUGAAAUCCCCGGGCUCAACCUGGGAACUGCAUUCGAAACUGGCAGGCUUGAGUCUUGUAGAGGGGGGUAGAAUUCCAGGUGUAGCGGUGAAAUGCGUAGAGAUCUGGAGGAAUACCGGUGGCGAAGGCGGCCCCCUGGACAAAGACUGACGCUCAGGUGCGAAAGCGUGGGGAGCAAACAGGAUUAGAUACCCUGGUAGUCCACGCCGUAAACGAUGUCUACUUGGAGGUUGUGCCCUUGAGGCGUGGCUUCCGGAGCUAACGCGUUAAGUAGACCGCCUGGGGAGUACGGCCGCAAGGUUAAAACUCAAAUGAAUUGACGGGGGCCCGCACAAGCGGUGGAGCAUGUGGUUUAAUUCGAUGCAACGCGAAGAACC